CACCAAGUUCUACUCCUCAAACAUCCUGUUUCUCUGGUUUUUAUUUUAUUCUUGUUUCAGGUAGGUGCACUCUAAUUUCUGACUUGUCAUUUUUACUAUAGAAAGAAGUUGAACAUAUUGAAAGAUAUACCCAAAGAAAGUCUUCCCAAUUACACAAGAUUCCAGUAACAAUAUGAGUCUCUUUGUGCUUUGUACUAGCUCCUUUGUGGUAAUGGUAGUCUUGCAGUGUAUUUAGAUGAAAGUUAGGGGGUAAUAAAUUGUCUUGAAACCAGAAAAUUUUCAAAUCCAUUUGGAUUAAUAUUAUUUUAAUCCACUGGUUAAGUGGUCUGUUUUUCAUUCUUCUAGUUUACUGCUGAGUGUUUUAUAGUUUUAAUGCAUAACUUGAAUUAAGCAGGCAAAGCACCAUUACUCAUUUUUAUGGCUUCCAAUGUUUAUUGUGCAAAUUACAGAAUGGAUAAAUUUACCCGCUAGGCCUUUUAUUUAUUUGACAUUUCUUUACAUGUUUGUACUGUAUAUUUGUGAAACGUCAUAUAAUUUAUAUUAACGUCAUAUGAAAGAAGGUUUAAAACUAAUCACCCUCUGUUCUGUCUGGAGUCAGUAGAAGGUCAUGAUAUGGAUACCCAGCACAUUAGACCCAGAGGCCUGGUCUACUGAAGCAACCAGUCUGAACGUUCUUGUUGUCAUGGUGAUAGAUUCGUAAAACGUAAAGUGAAAAUGCUAUUUCAUUUUCUUUCCAUUUAUCUGAAACCUGUUCUACCUGCUGUAGAAAGACGUUCAAAUGCCAACAAGAGCAGAAGCUAGAGUUGGCCAGACAGAGGAUCUGCAGUGAAGGGAAAUGCUUUAUUCUAUAACAUGGGCAAACGGGAAAUCCUUGUAGGAAAGAGUUUCACAUCCCUGAAACAAAUAAGGAGUGCAUGUUCAGCAGAACCACCAGGAAGACAACUGUGGUCCCAUUGACGGCUCCAAGAGCUACACAAAGUCUGGCUUAUCACUGUUUGAUAAGGAUCCGGUCCAGUCAAGCCGUGCCAAAGCCCCUUACAGGAAACCCUCUGACCUUCACUUCAAGAUCACGCAAAGAGCUUGAAAAGAUGAAAGUGUUCCACAUAUGUGCAUGUUCAAGGCAACGUUUCUUAAAGCUCUUUUUUUUCCCUGUAAUAAAAAUCAGGACAGUAAAUGCACUGUGUAGGAGUACAGAAAAACAAGGUCUCUCGAGAGCAUUUGGUAUACAAUAUGUACUGGUAAAAGAGUGAAAAUUAGCGGAAUGAGUUGCCCAUUAGGGAGGCAUCAGGGAAGCUACAGCUGCUCUCAGCAAACUGCAGUUAAGCUCAGUAGUGCCUUCAAAUUAAUAAAUGGACACUGUACACUGAAGCA
rnacentral:lncRNA from 1 species